CUACGUAGGGGGCGAGCGUUGUCCGGAAUUAUUGGGCGUAAAGGGUUCGUAGGCGGUAAUACAUGUCAGAUGUGAAAUCUUGUGGCUUAACCACAUCAAGCAUCUGAAACUGUAUAACUUGAGUGGAGGAGAGGUAAGUGGAAUUCCUAGUGUAGCGGUGAAAUGCGUAGAUAUUAGGAAGAAUACCAGUAGCGAAGGCGACUUACGGGCCUCUAACUGACGCUGAUGAACGAAAGCGGGGGUAGCAAACAGGAUUAGAUACCCUGGUAGUCCACGCCGUAAACGAUGAGUGCUAGGUGUCGGGAGUCAAAUCUCGGUGCCGUAGUUAACGCAAUAAGCACUCCGCCUGGGGAGUACGGCCGCAAGGUUGAAACUCAAAUGAAUUGACGGGG
rnacentral:rRNA from 1 species